UGGGGAAUUUUGGACAAUGGGCGAAAGCCUGAUCCAGCAAUGCCGCGUGUGUGAAGAAGGCCUUCGGGUUGUAAAGCACUUUUGUCCGGAAAGAAAUCCUUGGCUCUAAUACAGUCGGGGGAUGACGGUACCGGAAGAAUAAGCACCGGCUAACUACGUGCCAGCAGCCGCGGUAAUACGUAGGGUGCAAGCGUUAAUCGGAAUUACUGGGCGUAAAGCGUGCGCAGGCGGUUUGCUAAGACCGAUGUGAAAUCCCCGGGCUCAACCUGGGAACUGCAUUGGUGACUGGCAGGCUAGAGUAUGGCAGAGGGGGGUAGAAUUCCACGUNUAGCAGUGAAAUGCGUAGAGAUGUGGAGGAAUACCGAUGGCGAAGGCAGCCCCCUGGGCCAAUACUGACGCUCAUGCACGAAAGCGUGGGGAGCAAACAGGAUUAGAUACCCUGGUAGUCCACGCCCUAAAACGAUGUCAACUAGUUGUUGGGGGUUCAUUUCCUUAGUAACGUAGCUAACGCGUGAAGUUGACCGCCUGGGGAGUACGGUCGCAAGAUUAAAACUUAAAUGAAUUGACGGGGUCAUAGCUGUUUCC
rnacentral:rRNA from 1 species